AUGCCACAGGCUUGCUCACCUGACUCAGCCAGUGGCCAGAAGGUCUCUCAGCCUGCGCUGGUUCCGUUAACCCAGUCUGACGGCUUUCUCUAUAAGUGUCAAAAGAAGCAUUCGAACGAGGUCCUCACCUACCACCAGAUUCCUCUCAUGACGCUAGACUGGAACAACGAUAAACAGCGGGAGUGGGAGAAUUGUGACAUGGACGACAUCUGGUUUAGGGGAGAAAAGCUGACCUUGGCAGGAGCAUUGCAGAGGGACAUAGAAGAUAGAGGUCCUGGUAAUAAUAUGUGGGAGAGCCUUCUUAACGGCACUGAUGAAAACGCCGAUAAAGGAUCCUCAGUGUGUGAGGUAUGGCAGGCAUUUCUUAAUGGGCCAGAUUGUAAGGACCAUUCUGGUGUUCCGGAGUCAGAAUGGCUGCAGACAGCGGCGUCUGUGUCUCCCUCAAACCACGAGAAGCCCCAGAACCGAUGCGUAUCAAGCAGUGAAGGGUUUCAAAAAUCCCAGGUAGGGACAGAUACACCCCCGACCUUACAUGCACGCGCCUUGGCUGCAUGUCAGCUGCUGUCUGCCAUUCGAGAAACUCAGCUGGCUGACGUGUCCUUGAGCGCUGAAGACCACCAGGCAGCGGAGGGAUGUGGCAGGAGCACGGGGGAUGACAACACAGUGUCACAAGAUGCAUCCCAAAGGUCACAGACAAAGACUGUUACAGACACUCCACAGGAAUUUAGCCUCAAGGGGGCAACACCUGUGUCCGAAGGUUCUGUUGACAGUUCAACUAAGUGUCACAAGCAUGCGAUUUGGGAGCGAGAAAGAGAAGAAAUAAUAGGAGAAGCAGGAGCAAUAGGAGAAGAUGAGCCCUUCACACUGCACAUAGCUGACUUAGUAACAAGCUCAGGGGAGUCGAAGACAACAGACAUGACAGCAAUGCCAGAGUCUCCGAAUGCCAGGGCUGUUGAUAGGAUCUCACAGGGAGCAAGGCUGCAUGAAGGUCUUUCUUCCAGCCGAGAAAAGGGUGUUACAGGUACUGCACACAAUGCAACGGGUGACACGCUGGCAUUUAAGGAGACAAUCAGACAGGGGACAAAGGAUGGGGAGGGGUUUGUCGCUUCCACAUCCAGGCGAGCAGCAGAGGAAAAGAUUGUGAUGAAUCGUAAGGAAAAUGGAGUAUCUGCAGAAGAGGAGAUAUUUAGGCCACUGAAAACGGAGGAGUGUGAAAUCUCCCAGAGCUAUGUAGAUGAAAAGGAAUGUGAGGAGUUUAGGAUGAGCCAAAAUGAGGGAAGUGAAAAUGAAAUGGGACCUCUGCAGCCACAUGGAGAUGGAGUCAAUCGGAAACAAUUAUGUGAGGAGAGUUGUGCGGUGAAACCUAAAACAGAGGAGCAUGUAUUAGUCUCAAAUCAGACAGAGGAAGAGAAGUGCCUGAGUGGGCUGCUACGAGAAACAAACCCAUCAUCACACACAGCGCACUCAAGUGACGAGAUGAAGGUCUCGCAAUGUGACCGUGAUAGAAUCAGACCUUUCUCAGCAGAUAAAGGCGUCCCGAACCCCGUGGAGGUGGUCAAAGCGAGAUGGACUCAUUCACAGAAGGAUGACGCUAGCGCAGUAACUCCAGAAGAAAUUACAGUGAAGGAGACCGUUGCCCAGAAAGACACUUUAACAGAAGCUCGACGCCAACGCGCGCCAUUAAGAAGAACAGAGGAAUAUAUGAGUCAGAGAGGCGAAGAUGAAAGGGUCAGUGUUGGAAAGUUGGAAAUAGACGCAAUGGCGGAGCUGAUGGGUAACGUGGACGGCCCUUGGGAGGAGAGGGAGAACACACUGGCUGAAUUGAAAGAACAAGAGUUGUCAGCAGAAGUUGAGACGCAUCAACCUGUUGAGAGUAAGAUAUUGUCUGAGGCAACAAAAGACCCCAUUACAGCAGAAAAUACUGUAGCACAUGAAGUGAUGGAGUCGGGACUAGAGGGGACGCUCAUAGAAAGAUUUGCAGAAGACUUGGUCAGGGGGAUUUGUGAAGAGGUUUUCAGUUGGAAAGAGCCAGACUGUAAUAGAGACACAAAUACUGUUGGUAAAACAGAGGGCGGCAUGGCGGGUACACCUGAUACUACACACGAUUGCCAUGUUCUCGGUGAGAAAGGCUUCAAUGGUGCUUUGGAUUCUACUGUAUUUUCAUUUUCAACAGGUCCAAAUGUGAGUCUCUGCCAAGUCCCAAAGCCGAACACAGCGACUAGAAGCAACAAACGCUCCCCAAGAGGAAAAAGCCAGUCACUGGCCACAGCAGAUCCAGCCCAUUCUCCCUCUGAAUUACAGACAGAUUUCAGUUCAAGUGCUCAUCUCAGUCAAGAUCUCAGCGCCACUUUAGCAGCCCAAAGUGGGCCGUCACUGACUGAAUCAGCCGCAGCUCUCAGCUCUGGAAGGAACCAGGAAGGCAGCUAUCGAAUAAAGAAACGAUCAGUCGCCCACCAAGAGGCUGGGGGACAAACAGAAGCCCAAAAGGAGAGAUUUAAUCAGUCAGCUCCCCCAUCCCACAAACAUCUGAGCAACUCCUCCGAGACACUAAAAGAGUCAGGGGGUCUUAUAUCCUGGACUAUAUUAUGCAGCCUCAGUCACAUUACCAGGCUCCUCGUCUGUGCCCUGUUAGUCGUUGGAUCCUUUGUCCUUGCUUUCCUCUACGAUCUGCCAGCGUUCUUUGCACUCUACAUAUUUUCACUGUGCUACUGGUGGUACAAAUGGAGGCGACGCCAGGCAGCAACAAACAAGGCGAUGACAGGGUAG
rnacentral:lncRNA from 1 species